rnacentral:rRNA from 1 species
GACAGAGGGUGCAAACGUUGUUCGGAAUUACUGGGCGUAAAGCGCGUGUAGGCGGCCCAGCAAGUCGGAUGUGAAAGCCCUGGGCUUAACCUAGGAAGUGCAUUCGAAACUGCUGGGCUUGAGUUCUGGAGAGGAAGGCGGAAUUCUCGGUGUAGAGGUGAAAUUCGUAGAUAUCGAGAGGAACACCGGUGGCGAAGGCGGCCUUCUGGACAGUGACUGACGCUGAGACGGCGAAAGCCGUGGGAGCAAACAGGG